rnacentral:rRNA from 1 species
UACGGGGGGGGCAAGCGUUGUUCGGAAUUACUGGGCGUAAAGGGCUCGUAGGUGGCCAACUAAGUCAGACGUGAAAUCCCUCAGCUUAACUGGGGAACUGCGUCUGAUACUGGAUGGCUUGAGUUUGGGAGAGGGAUGCGGAAUUCCAGGUGUAGCGGUGAAAUGCGUAGAUAUCUGGAGGAACACCCGUGGCGAAGGCGGCUUUCUGGGACGGUACUGACGCUGAGACGCGAAAGCGUGGGGAGCGAACAGG